CGGGGGUUACACAGAGCAGGUUAUACCGGGGGUCACACGGAGCAGGUCACACCGGGAGUCACACCGGGGGUCACACGGAGGAGCUUAUACCGGGGAUUACACGGAGCAGGUCACACCGGGGGUUACACAGAGCAGAUCAGCUCCUGUGCAGAGAGUUGUGAGUUUAUGAAGCACCUCAGCAGUUUCUGUCACUCUUCCUAGAAGGUGUCACAGGAAAACCUCACUCUUUUGUUCCAAGAAUUCAGUGGCACCCCAGAACGGCAGCGACCUGCUGAGUUGGAUGGCAGCGCCCCUAAAAUGUAAUAAUUCCAAGUUUA